rnacentral:lncRNA from 1 species
GGAAGAUGUGUUAAGAGAUAAACAGUUUCCUCAAUUCCUCAAAUGAGUCUACUGUCUCAGGUAGAAGAGGGCAAUACCAGUUUAGAGCUCCGCCAGAGAGGGUGGAGAGGAAGAGAAGACAUCGCUCUUCGUCGGUGUGUAUCCGAUAUGCCAUGGUGGACUCAAAGAGGUUAAGGUGUUCAAUUAGGUCAUCCCUUCCAGUAUAGAGUUGUAAACGAAGCUUUUGUUUUGUCUUCGCUUGAAAGGGGUGUCGAUGAUCCUUCUUGUGAGAGGGUCAAGCCUGGGUUGGUUCCAGUCAGGUAUCUCGGCCUGACAUUCGGCCUUCAACUUGUUUCCUUCCUCAAUGAGCUGUAGGAUAAGGGGGUCCUGAGUGGAGUCAUGUACCAUUGGAAUUUUCUUUCGUAAGUCUCCAUCGCCUCUUGGAAGUAGGAAAGUUUGAGCAAAGGCGUGUGGUUUUUUCUUGGACUCGCUGUAUUGACUUCUAGGGCGAGUCUGUCAAAAUACCUUAGAGUCCCCCGUACCUUCAUGUUCCUUUGAGAUCUGUCGUUCGUUCCCUAGAUUGGCAGCUGGCCUGGGUCGUGGGAGGGGAUUGAGUCUUUCAGAAACCCUUGGGUCAUUGAUCUUCGAGCAUAUGUGGAGGGGAUUUUCUCGACGUUGCUUUAGGAGGUCUUAGCAGUCACGAUAAACGGCUUUCGAUCCUUCCAACCCUUCUGCAAUGAGGUGUCUUCCUCCACUUCUUCUAUUUCGGGUCGGAGCAUCUGGGUUGAGAGAAGUCUUAUGUUGAUCAAUGUUUUGAUGAUUAGCUCGCUCUUCAUCAGGGAUACCCAUGUCAAAGGGAGGCGACCCUCCGU